AUGCAAGUCGUACGAGCUUCAUCUGGGCAACUGGGUGAAGAAAGUGGCGAAAGGGGCAGUAAGGCAUGGAUAAUCUACCCUGAUGACCGGGAUAGCUGUCCCAACGGGCAGGUAAUACCGGAUGAGCUGGUGGGGCCGCAUGGUUCUGCCAGGAAAGGCGCAAGCCGUGUCGGGAGGAAUCCAUGUGAUAUUAGCUAGUUGGUGAGGUAACGGCUCACCAAGGCGAAGAUGUCUAGCGGGUGUGAGAGCACGACCCGCGCCAUUGGCACUGAGACACUGGCCAGACUCCUACGGGAGGCUGCAGUCGAGGAUCUUCGGCAAUGGGCGCAAGCCUGACCGAGCGACGCCGCGUGAGCGAUGAAGGCCAUUAGGUUGUAAAGCUCUGUCGAGGGGGAACAAGCCGUAAGGUUGAGUGAUCCCUGGAGGAAGCACGGGCUAAGUUCGUGCCAGCAGCCGCGGUAAGACGAACCGUGCGAACGUUGUUCGGAAUCAUUGGGCUUAAAGGGCGCGUAGGCGGGUUGACAAGUCCGGGGUGAAAGCCUCCAGCUCAACUGGAGAAGAGCCCCGGAUACUGUCAGUCUGGAGAGGGAUAGGGGCACAUGGAACUUCCGGUGGAGCGGUGAAAUGCGUAGAGAUCGGAAGGAACGCCGGUGGCGAAAGCGAUGUGCUGGAUCUUUUCUGACGCUGAGGCGCGAAAGCUAGGGGAGCAAACGGGAUUAGAUACCCCGGUAGUCCUAG
rnacentral:rRNA from 1 species